rnacentral:lncRNA from 1 species
GCCUCCGAAAGUGCUGGGAUUACAGGCUGAGCCACUGCGCAUGUGUAUCACAGAGCCGUGUAUCAGUAUUUUUAAGUUAGUCCGUCAAAAACAACCUUGAUUUGCACGAGACACAUGUUAAAGAGAUUUUGUGAUUGUCCUUUCUCCCUUGCUUUCCUCGUCUGGCUCCUGGCUGCCCCUUGGGCCGGCGCCUCUCGCUCGCUCUAUUCCUUCUCCCCGCGGCUGCCUCGUGCCGGCCGCACCUUCUCGCCGCGGACCGGAGCCGGGGCAGGAGCCGGGGCAGGAACCCGGGCAGAAGCCGGGGCAGGAACCAGGACAGGAAGCGGGGCAGGAACCAGGACAGGAAGCAGGGCAGGAGCCCCGCAGGAGCCAGGUGUCUGAGCCCCGCCCCGCCGCGGGGGAGAGGCCUCCGGGAGCCGGGGCCGCCCAGAGCCGCAGCCGCCGCGCAGGCAGGGCCGGGCCGGGCCGGGUGCGCGGGCACAAAGGGGCCGCUGCACAUGGCAGGCAGGCGAGCAGAUGCCAGCAGACAGCUUUUGUCGUCCAGUCUCCCAGUCAUCCGCCUGACCUGCUCCUGUCUGAACAUCCUACCGCGAGUCAAGGCAAAUGGGCUCAGCCGCUGUUCCACUCCACCCAGGCUUGGAGUGGACUCCCCGUGAGCCUGCAGAGGGGCAGGAUGCUGAGUAGCAGGCCAUGCGGGUGCGCCCGGGGUCUCACCCCAGCCCCAGGGAAGAGGCUGUUUCAUUCAGUGAACCAAGAGGGUACAAAGGUUCACCUUUCUCUGCAUCCUCACCAGCAUCUGUUAUUCCCUGCCCUUUUGAUAAAAGCCAUUUUAACGGAGACCACUGUUGACCACAAGUAACUGAAACUAACUUUCCAAGCAAAAGCAUGGAUAAGAGGAGACAACUGUAAUAGGACUUCCAAUUCCACCAAGAUGAAGUAGCUCCUUUUCCCCCAGGUCCUCUCCUUUACAACUAAAACCCAUGGACAUAACACAACAAAAUAAAAAAAUGCUGACAAAAGAAAUCAACCUAUAUACCUAUAAUCAACCUAUAAGAAAUGACCUAUAUAAAUGGAGAGACAUACUAAUUCAUGAAUUGGAAGAUUCAGUAUAGUAAGCAUGUCAUUUCUUCCCAAAUUGAUCUACAGAUGUAAUGAAAUUCCUAUCAAAAUCCCAACAAGGUUUUUUUAUAGACAAAGGUAAGUUUAUUGUAAAAUUUAUAUGAAAAAAGCGCAGGCCCAAGAAUAGCUAAAACAAUCUGGAUGAAGAAGAAGAAAGUGGGAGAAAUCACUCUAUUUGAUUCAUUAAUUCAAUUUCAUUACAACUAUUAUCAAGUUGGGGAGAAAUGACAUCUUUACUAUACUGAAUCUUCCAAUUCAUAAGUACAGUAUGUCUCUCCAUUUAUUUAGUUCUUCUUUGAUUUCUUUCAUCAGCAUUUUGUAAUUUUCAACAUACAAAUUCUAUUCAUGUUUUAUUAAGUGUAUAUUCUAGGCAUUUCAUUUUAUUUGGAGCAAUUAAUUAUAAAUGACAUUGUGUUUUAAAUUUUGCUUUCCAUAUGUUCAUCGUUAAUAUGCAAAAUGUGAUUGACAUUUGUGUAUUACUCUUGAAUCCAGCAACCUUGCUGAACUCACUUACCAGUUCUAGGAGCUCUUUUUUGGAGAUACCUUGGGGUUUUCUGUGUAAACCAUCUUGCCAUCUGAAAAUAGGGACUGUUUUAUUUUUUCCUUAAGGCUUACAAUAAUAGCUGUAGUCAUUAGACCAUAUUAUAUUGGCAGAGGCAUGGAUGCAAAGAUGAUUGGAGCAGAAUAGAGAACCCAGAAAUAGAGCAACAAAAAAAUGCUCAUCUGAUUUUUUACACAAUUACAACAAAUGGUGCUGGAGCAACUGGACAUUGACCUAAACCACAUAAAUUACACCAAAAACAUAGCUCAAAAUGGAUGAGGGACUUUAAAACUAUAAAACAGUCACUCUAGAAAACAGGUUGGGCUGGAUGCAGUGGCUCAUACCUGUAAUCCCAGCACUUGGAGGCCGAGGAGGGAGGAUCACUUGACCCCAGGAGUUCAAGACUAGCCUGGGAAGCAUGGCGAAAUCCAUGGUCUCUACUAAAAAUACAAUAAAUUAGAUGGGCGUGGUGGUGCAUGCCUAUAGUCCUAGCUACUCGGGAGGCUGAGCUGAGAGGAUCACCUGAUCCCAGGAAGGUCAAAGCUGCAGUGAGCCAUGAUCACACCACUGCACUUCAGCCUAGGUGACAGAGUGAGACCCUGUCUCAAAAAAAAACAAAAAAGAAAAGAAAACAGAUUGGUAGUGCCUUAGAGAACUGAACAUGCAACUACGAUACGACCCAGCAAUAGUUCUCUUGGUGUUUACUAAAGGGAACUUCAGAAGCUUUUCCAAAAUUCACAUGGAGAAGCAAGCUGCCAAGAACAGCACAUGCUAAGGAAAAGAAGAAAAUUAUAGAAAUAAACAGGCAGCAUCAUUCUGUUUAUAUAACGUUCAAAAGCAGGCACUAAAGGAGAUAUGGUUCACAGAUACACACACGAGUGGUAGACGUGCAAAUCCCUCCAAUCACCUCUGGCUGAACGUCCUAAAGGUACCAAGUAGAGUAAAGCGAAUCAGAUGCUUCCCACUAUCGUAUUCUGUGCCUGUGAGUCUGAAGCCACCUAUAAUACUGAGAUGUCUCAGGAAGGAAAUAUUCUUGUAACAUGGUUUCACUGAUAACUCUUUUAAAAUCUGAAAUCCUUAAUAUCUGAAAUAAUAAAGAAUUUCUUUCCAUAUUAUGACAUACAGUGCAUACCCAUUGGCUGGUGAUAAAACUAUUACAGAAAUAAGAUAUAAAUUGCUUGAAAAGGUGUUUGGAAUUUUGUAAGAUAAAAAGUAUUUCAGUCUCCUAUUUCUUUGUAACUUACAAAUUAAGAAUUAAAAGAUAUUCAUUCCAACAUGCAAAUAGCACUCUUCAUACUAGAAUAAUCUACAGUUGAAAUGCAGAAGUCAGUCCUAAAUUAAAG